GACGAACGCUGGCGGCGUGCUUAACACAUGCAAGUCGAACGGUGAAGGGGAGCUUGCUCCCCGGAUCAGUGGCGAACGGGUGAGUAACACGUGGGCAACCUGCCCCAGACUUCGGGAUAACGCGUCGAAAGAGGUGCUAAUACCGGAGACGAACUUCUUUGGCAUCCUGGGAGCGGGGACGUUUUUCGGUCUGGGAUGGGCCCGCGGCCUAUCAGCUAGUUGGUGAGGUAACGGCUCACCAAGGCGACGACGGGUAGCCGGCCUGAGAGGGCGACCGGCCACACUGGGACCGAGACACGGCCCAGACUCCUACGGGAGGCAGCAGUGGGGAAUAUUGCGCAAUGGGCGAAAGCCUGACGCAGCAACGCCGCGUGAGGGAUGACGGCCUUCGGGUUGUAAACCUCUUUCAGCAGGGAAGAAGCGAAAGUGACGGUACCUGCAGAAGAAGCACCGGCUAACUACGUGCCAGCCGCCGCAGUAAAAC
rnacentral:rRNA from 1 species